UGUCAACCGCCUAUUGCGGCCAAUACGGCCAAACCAUCAACACCAUUGGAUGUAACCAAUGAAGAUGAAUCUGCCUCAAAUGAUUCUGUGAUCAUCUCUCAAUCUGUGAAAUCGAGAUCUUCACGGACCUCGGCACAAAAAUUUGUGAAUGACCUCAUGCACGGGAUUUACUCAACGGAAUAUAUGGCGACACACAGCGUGUCGGGGUUAUCCUCAACGAAGGCAGCCAACGUCAAGGCGGCACUGCCUCGUGACCAUGUCAUGGAAAUUAUUGCUGAAGCACGCAAGGUCUUCCCCGAGGCAGCGGAAGCUGACAUCAGGCGCUUCAUGAGGGAAAAAUUGUCGAAUGCAGCCAAAAUUCUGCGGCGUAAAGAGAAGUCUGACCGGACUUAA